UACGUAGGGUGCAAGCGUUAAUCGGAAUACUGGGCGUAAAGCGUGCGCAGGCGGUUUUGUAAGUCUGUCGUGAAAUCCCCGGGCUCAACCUGGGAAUUGCGAUGGAGACUGCAAGGCUUGAAUCUGGCAGAGGGGGGUAGAAUUCCACGUGUAGCAGUGAAAUGCGUAGAUAUGCGGAGGAACACCGAUGGCGAAGGCAAUCCCCUGGGCCUGUACUGACGCUCAUGCACGAAAGCGUGGGGAGCGAAACAGG
rnacentral:rRNA from 1 species